rnacentral:rRNA from 1 species
CGGACGGGUGAGUAACGCGUGGGUAACCUGCCCUGUACAGGGGGAGUAACAAUCAGAAAUGACUGCUAAUACCGCAUGAGACCACAGCACCGCAUGGUGCAGGGGUAAAAACUCCGGUGGUACAGGAUGGACCCGCGUCUGAUUAGCUGGUUGGUGAGGUAACGGCUCACCAAGGCGACGAUCAGUAGCCGGCUUGAGAGAGUGAACGGCCACAUUGGGACUGAGACACGGCCCAAACUCCUACGGGAGGCAGCAUG